rnacentral:rRNA from 1 species
CCUACGGGAGGCAGCAGUGAGGAAUAUUGGUCAAUGGACGAGAGUCUGAACCAGCCAAGUAGCGUGAAGGAUGACGGCCCUAUGGGUUGUAAAAUUCUUUUAUAGGGGAAUAAAAUGUACCACGGGUGGGAUUUUGUAUGGACCAUAUGAAUAAGGAUAGGCUAACUCCGUGCCAGCAGCCGCGGUAAUACGGAGGAUCCGAGCGUUAUCCGGAUUUAUUGGGUUUACAGGGAGCGUAGGUGGAUUGUUAAGUCAGUGGUGAAAGUUUGCGGCUCAACCGUAAAAUUGCAGUUGAUACGGGCAGUCUUGCGUACAGUUGCGGUCGGCGGCAUUCUUGUUGUAGCGGU